rnacentral:piRNA from 1 species
GGGCUGGAGAGAUGGCUCA